UUUGUGUAUGACAUGUAUGCGAACCUCACAUUUGUCUAUGGUGUGUGUGUGUGCAUGCACACACACAUACACACUCAGG
rnacentral:miRNA from 1 species